UACGGAGGGUGCAAGCGUUAUUCCGGAUUCACUGGGUUUAAAGGGUGUCGUAGGUGGGAAUGUGAAGUCAGUGGUGAAAUCUCCGUGCUUAACAUGGAAACUGCCAUUGAUACUAUGUUUCUUGAAUUUUCUGGAGGUAAGCGGAAUAUGUCAUGUAGCGGUGAAAUGCUUAGAUAUGACAUAGAACACCAAUUGCGAAGGCAGCUAACUACAGGGAUAUUGACACUGAGGCACGAAAGCGUGGGGAUCAAACAGG
rnacentral:rRNA from 1 species